AGGACACCGCGGACCGCCCUCGUUGCCGCCGUCGUCCUCGCGUCUUCGCCGACGUUAGCCGAAUCGUUUGAUGUUGCCGUAUUGGAAUGCCGUCUUACUGUAGAUCGUUUGACGUAGCCAUGCCCGACGGGGCGGGACGGAGCCCGGUUAUGCCGGAAGACUACCAUCUUGCUGCAGAUCGCUUGAUGUGUAGUGGCCCCGAGGGGGCGUAAUAACUGGAAUACGUGUGAUGCAUAGUGCCUGAUUAUGUGAUAGAAACUGCUAAGCAUGGUAUGGGACGUGCCCAAGUGGAUUCUGUCUUAUAAUCGAGACACGCGCACCUGUGAUGCAUUGAUGCAUGGGAAAUCUAUUUAAAUGCUUCGAGUAUGUGACAUGUUCAUUUCAUCAAUUAGUAUACCAAGGCGAGGUAAGGAUGCCUGUGGUUGUUUAAUAAUGUUGCUGUUGAUGCUGUAUUGCCUGGUUAGGGACCCCCGUGCGAGUUGACCUUCUAAGCGGGGCUUAGGCCGUUAACU